rnacentral:rRNA from 1 species
GACAGAGGUCCCGAGCGUUAGGCGGAAUCACUGGGCUUAAAGCGUGUGUAGGCGGAUCGUUAAGUGCCUUGUGAAAUCCCACGGCUUAACCGUGGAACUGCUUGGCAUACUGGCGGUCUUGAGCCACCUAGGGGCAACCGGAACAAACGGUGGAGCGGUGAAAUGCGUAGAUAUCGUUUGGAACGCCAAUGGUGAAAACAGGUAGCUGGGAGUGUGCUGACGCUGAGACACGAAAGCCAGGGGAGCGAACGGG